GGGAGGGGGCACUGAUGCGCAUGCGCCGGUGCUUCCCGCGGCCGGCCAGAGCUAGAGUGCCUGGGUCACGUGGCAGUCACGUAGUGCUUGCUGUGAGAGCCCAACGGACUCCCAGCCGGCUCUGUUUUUAUUGCCCCCAGAGGUCCUGUCUUCACUUUCUCCUGCCCUCAUGAGACUCCCUAGGUGAUCCCCACCCAGGAGCUGACUGAGUCCGGAGCCCACAGAUGCCCUCCCCGCGCUCUCGAUUCCCCGUGGAGCUGGGCUCUGUUAGGGAUCCAGAAGCCCAGGUGGGACAGCUGCAUCGCCUGGCUGUAGCUGGGGGCCCAGGAUGGGGCCUCACGCGGCUCCUGCGCAGAGUUGUCCAGGUCGAUGGUGAGAACUCUGCUGGGCAGACGGGGCUCUUCCUUUUGGCGCUGCUGGGCCACAGCUCUGCCGUGCAGCUCCUGCUGACCUUCGGCGCCAACCCUAACCACCGCUGCCUCGAUGGCAGCACGCCUGUGCACACAGGUGCCUUCUCGGGCCGCCGCCCGGUGGUGCUGCACCUGUUGUGGGCAGGGGGUGACCUGCGUCUACGUGACCAGCAGGGUCGCACGCCUCGGGACUGGGCAGAGCAGGGUGGUGCCAGGCAGAGCCGGGAGGUGCUGGAGCUGCUAGAGCUAUGCCGAGCCCGCGUAGCCGCACUGGUGCAUGGCGGUGCGUUGGCAUCCAGUGUGUCCCUGGGCCAGCUGCAGGCCGGCUCUGUACACCACCUGUGUGGCUCCCUGUGGUUGCCGCGGCUGCUGCGUGCGGACGGGGCACCGAGGCAGGAGCAGACCAGAAGACCCCCCCAAAUCCCAGCCUUGGGGUUUGGCCAGCUGAGCAGCCUGUGGCCACUGGGGCUGCUGACGGGCAUACCCCUCGCAGACCCCAAGGAGCUGCUGCCAGCCCAGGGCGAGCCCGACCGCACCUACGAGAGCAGCUCCCGCACCCUCAUGGCCAACCUCCUGUGGAGGGGCCACCCUGUGACAGCUCGGCAGCUGAAGGUACCGGGAACUCAGCCUGAUGUGCUGUUGGCCGACCUUCAACACUGCAGCACCCUGCACCACCCCAACAUGUUGCUGCUGAUGGCACUGAGCCCCUCGGUGGACCUGUCAGGACUGUGCCUCCUCUUCGAACCCGUGUGGCUGGGCUCCCUGCACGUGGUGCUGCACCCACGGGGACCCAGUCAGGGAGGGCCCCGCAGUGUGCCAGGCCUGCCGCCCGGCCACCUGCUGCUGCAGGUGCUGGAGGCCCUGCUGUUCCUGCAGGCCCGCUGGCGUGCUCAUGGCGGCCUUAGCUCUCAUGCCGUGCAGCUGGUACGGCCAGGCCUGGCCAAGGUGGGCAGCCUGGAGCACGGGCGCCCGCUGCACCGAUGCUGGCCGCCGCCCAGGCCACAGCAGGGCUACCCCCGGGGAGGCCCAGGCCCAGGGCUACCCCCGCCUCCUGAACUGUACCCAUGGCUGCCACUUGAGCUCAUCUGCGGUGACGUGCCUGCCGCCACCUCAGAUCUCUACAGCUUCUGCAUCCUGGCCCAGGAGGUCUUCACCGGAGAGCUGCCCUGGGCUGGGAGAAAGGGGCCUGAGGUGAAGGCUAAAUUGGAGGCAGGUGAGAGCCUGGCCCUGGAUCCCCUGGUACCAGCCCCCUACCAGGCCCUGGUUCAGGCUGGGCUGGGCCUAGGGCCCGCUGACCGCUGGGGCAGCCUGCAGAGUACUCGAUACCUGCUGCGGGAGGCCAUGGCCCAGGACUCCACUCCUGAGGUGAGCUCCCGGAAGCAUUGGCCCACACGGUACCUUUCAUCCCAGGGUUCCCCACCAGAGACACUGUACUGUGAGGUGGCUCCCAGAGCCAAGACUAUACCCAGGCCUGUGCCCCCUGUGAUGCCCCUAGGCCCCUCCCCAUGCCAGGUCCCGGAGACUCCUGAGACCCCAGGCCACAGCAGAGUCCAGAGGGGCACAGCCUGGGACUCAGGCAGCAGCUUGACUCCAGGCAGCCUGAGCCCCAGCCCCAGCUUCUACCCAGGCUUCAGCCCCGCAGCCAGGGUCAGCCUGCACCGCUGCCUGGAACCCAGCUCAACACCAUCAGGACUCAGCCUCCCUUCUGGGGACCCAGGGCUCUUUGGAGGAGUUUGAGAGGAAGUGCUCAGUCAGGAUUCAAGCCCUGCAGGGAGUGUGGCGUCACACACACAGGGCUGCCCUGCGGGGCCCCUCUACCGUGUGAGCCUAGCCCCUGCCUGCUGACCCACAAGGAGGCCUCCCACACCCUGGAGGCUUCUGGCAGGGAAGGCCAUGAGGGCAGGUGAAGCAGAGGACCCUGAGCCUAUCCCCUGCCCCGUGCCACCUUCCCGGGCACCCUCCAUGGCCACUGGGUGGCAGCUCCAGCCUUUUUCCCCUGCAGGUGCCCAGUCCCUAGCUGAUCAAAGGAGAUCUCUUCUCCAGCCUGCAGAAGAUGGACCUGCUGGAGGAGGUCAUAGCAGAGCUGCAAGGUGGAUGCCAACUCGGAGACAAGCCCAGCCUCGACCCCACUCCUGACACAGAUUCUUAGGGU